AAUGAACGCUGGCGGCAGGCCUAAAACAUGCAAGUCGAACGCCCUAGCAGUAGGGAGUGGCGCACGGGUGAGUAACAUGUGGGAAUAUGCCUUUUGGUACGGAACAACGUUUGGAAACGAACGCUAAUACCGUAUGGUCCCUCCGGGGUAAAGAUUUAUCGCCAAAAGAUUAGCCCGCACUAGAUUAGCUAGUUGGUAAGGUAAUGGCUUACCAAGGCGACGAUCUAUAGCUGUUCUGAGAGGAAGAUCAGCCACACUGGGACUGAGACACGGCCCAGACUCCUACGGGAGGCAGCAGUUAGGAAUAUUGGACAAUGGGCUCAAGCCUGAUCCAGCCAUGCCGCGUGAGUGAUGAAGGCCUUCGGGUUGUAAAGCUCUUUGGCCGACGAAUAUAAUGACUGUAGUCGGAGAAUAAGCCCCGGCUAACUUCGUGCCAGCAGCCGCGGUAAAAC
rnacentral:rRNA from 1 species